rnacentral:rRNA from 1 species
UACGGAAGGCAGCAGUGGGGAAUAUUGCACAAUGGGCGCAAGCCUGAUGCAGCCAUGCCGCGUGUAUGAAGAAGGCCUUCGGGUUGUAAAGUACUUUCAGUCGUGAGGAAGGUGUUAAGGUUAAUAACCUUAGCAAUUGACGUUAGCGACAGAAGAAGCACCGGCUAACUCCGUGCCAGCAGCCGCGGUAAUACGGAGGGUGCGAGCGUUAAUCGGAAUUACUGGACGUAAAGGGCACGCAGGCGGUUAAUUAAGUUGGAUGUGAAAUCCCCGGGCUUAACCUGGGAAUGGCAUUCAAGACUGGUUAGCUAGAGUCUUGUAGAGGGGGUAGAAUUCCGAUGUGUAGCGGUGAAAUGCGUAGAGAUGUGGAGGAAUACCGGUGGCGAAGGCGGCCCCUGGACAAAGACUGACGCUCAUGUGCGAAAGCGUGGGGA